rnacentral:rRNA from 1 species
AUUGAACGCUGGCGGCAGGCCUAACACAUGCAAGUCGAACGGUAACAGGAAGCAGCUUGCUGCUUCGCUGACGAGUGGCGGACGGGUGAGUAAUGUCUGGGAAGCUGCCUGAUGGAGGGGAUAACUACUGGAAACGGUAGCUAAUACCGCAUAAUGUCGCAAGACCAAAAGAGGGGGACCUUCGGGCCUCUUGCCAUCGGAUGUGCCCAGAUGGGAUUAGCUUGUUGGUGGGGUAACGGCUCACCAAGGCGACGAUCCCUAGCUGGUCUGAGAGGAUGACCAGCCACACUGGAACUGAGACACGGUCCAGACUCCUACGGAGGCAGCAGUGGGAAUAUUGCACAAUGGGCGCGAAGCCUGAUGCAGCCAUGCCGCGUGUA